rnacentral:rRNA from 1 species
CUACGGGGGCAGCAGUGGGGAAUAUUGGACAAUGGACCAAAAGUCUGAUCCAGCAAUUCUGUGUGUUUGAUGAAGGCCUUCGGGUUGUAAAGAACCUUAAGUAGGGAAGAAGAAAGUGACGGUACCUACAGAAUAAGCGACGGCUAAAUACGUGCCAGCAGCCGCGGUAAUACGUAUGUCGCAAGCGUUAUCCGGAAUUAUUGGGCAUAAAGCGCGUCUAGGCGGUUUACUAAGUCUGAUGUGAAAAUGCGGGGCUCAACUCCGUAUUGCGUUGGAAACUGGUAGACUAGAGUAUUGGAGAGGUAGGCGGAACUACAAGUGUAGAGGUGAAAUUCGUAGAUAUUUGUAGGAAUGCCAAUGACGAAGGUAGCUUACUGGACAAAUACUGACGCUGAAGCGCGAAAGCUAGGGGAGCAAACAGGAUUAGAUACCCCAGUAGUC